UGGGCAACCUGCCCCUCUCUCUGGGAUAACCCCGGGAAACCGGAGCUAAUACCGGAUACUCCGGCUGGAUCGCAUGGUCCGGCCGGGAAAGGUCCGCCGGAGAGGGAUGGGCCCGCGGCCUAUCAGCUUGUUGGUGAGGUAACGGCUCACCAAGGCAACGAUGCGUAGCCGACCUGAGAGGGUGAUCGGCCACAUUGGAACUGAGACACGGUCCAGACUCCUACGGGAGGCA
rnacentral:rRNA from 1 species